rnacentral:rRNA from 1 species
CAAGCGUUGUUCGGAAUUACUGGGCGUAAAGGGCGCGUAGGCGGUCUUGUAAGUCUUGUGUGAAAUCCCUCGGCUUAACUGAGGAACUGCACGAGAUACUGCAAGACUUGAGAUCGGGAGAGGGAAGCGGAAUUCCGGGUGUAGCGGUGAAAUGCGUAGAUAUCCGGAGGAACACCGGUGGCGAAGGCGGCUUCCUGGACCGAUACUGACGCUGAGGCGCGAAAGCUAGGGGAGCAAACGGG